rnacentral:rRNA from 1 species
GUCCACGCCCUAAACGAUGUCAACUAGCCGUUGGGUUCAUUUAAGGACUUAGUGGCGCAGCUAACGCGUUAAGUUGACCGCCUGGGGAGUACGGCCGCAAGGUUAAAACUCAAAGGAAUUGACGGGGGCCCGCACAAGCGGUGGAGCAUGUGGUUUAAUUCGAUGCAACGCGAAGAACCUUACCAGGCCUUGACAUCCUCGGAACUUUCUAGAGAUAGAUUGGUGCCUUCGGGAACCGAGUGACAGGUGCUGCAUGGCU